rnacentral:rRNA from 1 species
GGGGGAUGCGAGCGUUAUCCGGAUUCAUUGGGUUUAAAGGGUGCGUAGGCUGUGCGUCAAGUCGGGGGUGAAAUUCCGGUGCUCAACACCGGGGCUGCCCUUGAUACUGUCGCGCUGGAGUGCGGAUGCCGCCGGAGGAAUGAGUGGUGUAGCGGUGAAAUGCUUAGAUAUCACUCAGAACACCGAUUGCGAAGGCAUCUGGCGAAUCCGUAACUGACGCUGAGGCACGAAAGCGUGGGGAUAGAACAGGAUUAGAUACCCUGGUAUUCCACGCCGUAAACGAUGAUGGCUAACCGCCGGCGACACACUGUCGGUGGCCAAGCGAAAGCGAUAAGCCAUCCACCCGGGGAGU